rnacentral:rRNA from 1 species
GAGAUAAGCCCAUGUCCUGUCAGCUGGUUGGUGAGGUAACGGCUCACCAAGGCUUACGGGUAGCUGGUCUGAGAGGAUGAUCAGCCACAGUGGGACUGAGACACUGCCCAGACUCCUACGGGAGGCUGCAGUCGAGAAUCAUUGUCAAUGCACGAAAGUGUGAACAUGCGACGCCGCGUGGAGGAAGACGGCCUUCGGGUUGUAAACUCCUGUCAGCAGGGAGUAAGGACAGCACCAUUAAUACCGGUGUUGUUUGAUAGUACCUGCAGAGGAAGUCACGGCUAACUCUGUGCCAGCAGCCGCGGUAAUACAGAGGUGGCGAACGUUGUUCGGAUUUACUGGGCGUAAAGGGUCCGCAGGCGGUUCGGUGUGUCGGAUGUGAAAGCUCACAGCUCAACUGUGGAAUUGCAUUCGAAACUGCCGAACUAGAGUACUGGAGGGGAGAAGGGAACACUUGGUGUAGCGGUGAAAUGCGUAGAUAUCAAGUGGAACACCGGCGGCGAAGGCGCUUCUCUGGACAGAUACUGACGCUGAGGGACGAAAGUUAGGGUAGCGAAAGGGAUUAGAUACCCCUGUAGUCCUAACCGUAAACGGUGUGCGCUAGGCGUGGGUGGCUUUACCCCCAUCCGUGCCUGAGUUAACGCAUUAAGCGCACCGCCUGGGGAGUACGGUCGCAAGAUUAAAACUCAAAGGAAUUGACGGGGACCCGCACAAGCGGUGGAGCAUGUGGCUUAAUUCGAUGCAACGCGAAGAACCUUACCUGGGCUUGACAUCUAGCUGCAUACGACCCGAAAGGGACGUAGCCUUCGAGGGUGCUAGACAGGUGCUGCAUGGCUGUCGUCAGCUCGUGCCGUGAGGUGUUGGGUUAAGUCCCGCAACGAGCGCAACCCCUGUGUUUAGUUGCCAGCACGUUAUGGUGGGAACUCUAAACAGACUGCUUGUGAAAGCAAGAGGACGGUGGGGAUGACGUCAAGUCAGUAUGGUCCUUAUGUCCAGGGCCGCACACGUGCUACAAUGGGAUGUACAGUGGGAGGCCAAGCCGCGAGGUGGAGCAAAUCCUCAAAACAUCCCCCAGUUCGGAUCGUAGUCUGAAACUCGACUGCGUGAAGUUGGAAUCGCUAGUAAAGGCGUAUCAGCUA